UGGGCUUGACAUGCCAGGGUCGUACCCCGGUGGAAACACUGGGGGAGCACAGAGUUUUACUCUGUGCGCUCUGGCAC
rnacentral:rRNA from 1 species